UUCCGCCCCUUAGUGCUGCAGCUAACGCAUUAAGCACUCCGCCUGGGGAGUACGACCGCAAGGUUGAAACUCAAAGGAAUUGACGGGGACCCUCCACGGUUGAGCCGUGGGUUAAUUCGAAGCAACGCGAAGAACCUUACCAAAUCUUGACAUCCUUUGACAACUCUAGAGAUAGAGCCUUCCCCUUCGGGGGACAAAGUGACAGGUGGUGCAUGGUUGUCGUCAGCUCGUGUCGUGAGAUGUUGGGUUAAGUCCCGCAACGAGCGCAACCCUUAAGCUUAGUUGCCAUCAUUAAGUUGGGCACUCUAAGUUGACUGCCGGUGACAAACCGGAGGAAGGUGGGGAUGACGUCAAAUCAUCAUGCCCCUUAUGAUUUGGGCUACACACGUGCUACAAUGGACAAUACAAAGGGCAGCGAAACCGCGAGGUCAAGCAAAUCCCAUAAAGUUGUUCUCAGUUCGGAUUGUAGUCUGCAACUCGACUACAUGAAGCUGGAAUCGCUAGUAAUCGUAGAUCAGCAUGCUACGGUGAAUACGUUCCCGGGUCUUGUACACACCGCCCGUCACACCACGAGAGUUUGUAACACCCGAAGCCGGUGGAGUAACCUUUUAGGAGCUAGCCGUCGAAGGUGGGACAAAUGAUUGGGGUGAAGUCGUAACAAGGUAGCCGUAUCGGAAGGUGCGGCUGGAUCACCUCCUUUCUAAGGA
rnacentral:rRNA from 1 species